AUUGAACGCUGGCGGUAUGCUUAACACAUGCAAGUCGAACGGUAGCAGGCCUUCGGGCGCUGACGAGUGGCGGACGGGUGAGUAACGCGUAGGAAUCUGCCUGUUAGUGGGGGACAACGUGGGGAAACCCACGCUAAUACCGCAUACGCCCUACGGGGGAAAGGAGGGGAUCUUCGGACCUUUCGCUAACAGAUGAGCCUGCGUUAGAUUAGCUAGUUGGUAGGGUAAAGGCCUACCAAGGCGACGAUCUAUAGCUGGUCUGAGAGGACGAUCAGCCACACUGGGACUGAGACACGGCCCAGACUCCUACGGGAGGCAGCAGUGGGGAAUAUUGGACAAUGGGCGAAAGCCUGAUCCAGCAAUACCGCGUGUGUGAAGAAGGCCUUAGGGUUGUAAAGCACUUUCAAUUGGGAGGAAAACCUGCCGGUCAAUACCCGGUAGCUUGACAUUACCUUUAGAAGAAGCACCGGCUAACUCCGUGCCAGCAGCCGCGGUAAUACGGAGGGUGCGAGCGUUAAUCGGAAUUACUGGGCGUAAAGCGUGCGUAGGCGGUUCGUUAAGUCAGAUGUGAAAGCCCUGGGCUCAACCUGGGAACUGCAUUUGAAACUGGCGGACUAGAGUUUAGUAGAGGGGAGUGGAAUUUCAGGUGUAGCGGUGAAAUGCGUAGAUAUCUGAAGGAACACCAGUGGCGAAGGCGACUCCCUGGACUAGAACUGACGCUGAGGUACGAAAGCGUGGGUAGCAAACAGGAUUAGAUACCCUGGUAGUCCACGCCGUAAACGAUGUCGACUAGCCGUUGGUCCUAUUUACAGGAUUAGUGGCGCAGCUAACGCAUUAAGUCGACCGCCUGGGGAGUACGGCCGCAAGGUUA
rnacentral:rRNA from 1 species